rnacentral:rRNA from 1 species
AACGAACGCUGGCGGCAGGCCUAACACAUGCAAGUCGAACGCCCCGCAAGGGGAGUGGCAGACGGGUGAGUAACACGUGGGAACCUUCCCUAUACUACGGAAUAGCCCAGGGAAACUUGGAGUAAUACCGUAUACGCCCGAGAGGGGAAAGAUUUAUCGGUAUAGGAUGGGCCCGCGUAGGAUUAGCUAGUUGGUGAGGUAAUGGCUCACCAAGGCGACGAUCCUUAGCUGGUCUGAGAGGACGACCAGCCACACUGGGACUGAGACACGGCCCAGACUCCUACGGGAGGCAGCAGUGGGGAAUAUUGGACAAUGGGCGCAAGCCUGAUCCAGCCAUGCCGCGUGAGUGAUGAAGGCCUUAGGGUUGUAAAGCUCUUUUGCCGGGGACGAUAAUGACGGUACCCGGAGAAUAAGUCCCGGCUAACUUCGUGCCAGUCGCCGCCGUAACAC